CAGCUAGUUGGUGGGGUAAGAGCCUACCAAGGCGUCGAUCGGUAGCUGGUCUGAGAGGACGAUCAGCCACACUGGGAUUGAGAACGGCCCAGACUCCUACGGGGGGCAGCAGUGAGGAAUUUUCGGCAAUGGGGGCAACCCUGACCGAGCAACGCCGCGUGCAGGAAGGAGGUUUUCGGAUCGUAAACUGCUUUUCUCGGGGAAGAGCAAGGACGGUACCCGAGGAAGAAGCCCCGGCUAACUACGUGCCAGCAGCCGCGGUAAUACGUAGGGGGCGAGCGUUGUCCGGAGUUACUGGGCGUAAAGCGCACGCAGGCGGUCGUGUAAGUUUGGGGUUACAGCUCCCGGCUCAACCGGGAGAGCGCCUUGAAGACUGCAGGACUUGAGGGCCAAAGAGGGACACAGAAUUCCGGGUGUAGUGGUGAAAUGCGUAGAUAUCCGGAGGAAUACCAAAGGCGAAGGCAGUGUCCUGGUUGGAACCUGACGCUCAGGUGCGAAAGCUAGGGGAGCGAACGGGAUUAGAUACCCCGGUAGUCCUAGCCGUAAACGAUGACCACUAGGUGUGCGGGGUAUCGACCCCCUGCGUGCCGGAGCU
rnacentral:rRNA from 1 species